CAGGCUUAACACAUGCAAGUCGAGGGGCAGCAUGAACUUAGCUUGCUAAGUUUGAUGGCGACCGGCGCACGGGUGAGUAACACGUAUCCAACCUGCCGAUGACUCGGGGAUAGCCUUUCGAAAGAAAGAUUAAUACCCGAUGGCAUAGUUCUUCCGCACGGUGGAACUAUUAAAGAAUUUCGGUCAUCGAUGGGGAUGCGUUCCAUUAGGUUGUUGGCGGGGUAACGGCCCACCAAGCCUUCGAUGGAUAGGGGUUCUGAGAGGAAGGUCCCCCACAUUGGAACUGAGACACGGUCCAAACUCCUACGGGAGGCAGCAGUGAGGAAUAUUGGUCAAUGGACGAGAGUCUGAACCAGCCAAGUAGCGUGAAGGAUGACUGCCCUAUGGGUUGUAAACUUCUUUUAUACGGGAAUAAAGUGAGGCACGUGUGCCUUUUUGUAUGUACCGUAUGAAUAAGGAUCGGCUAACUCCGUGCCAGCAGCCGCGGUAAUACGGAGGAUCCGAGCGUUAUCCGGAUUUAUUGGGUUUAAAGGGAGCGUAGGCGGACGCUUAAGUCAGUUGUGAAAGUUUGCGGCUCAACCGUAAAAUUGCAGUUGAUACUGGGUGUCUUGAGUACAGUAGAGGCAGGCGGAAUUCGUGGUGUAGCGGUGAAAUGCUUAGAUAUCACGAAGAACUCCGAUUGCGAAGGCAGCUUGCUGGACUGUAACUGACGCUGAUGCUCGAAAGUGUGGGUAUCAAACAGGAUUAGAUACCCUGGUAGUCCACACAGUAAACGAUGAAUACUCGCUGUUUGCGAUAUACAGUAAGCGGCCAAGCGAAAGCGUUAAGUAUUCCACCUGGGGAGUACGCCGGCAACGGUGAAACUCAAAGGAAUUGACGGGGGCCCGCACAAGCGGAGGAACAUGUGGUUUAAUUCGAUGAUACGCGAGGAACCUUACCCGGGCUUGAAUUGCAACUGAAUGAUGUGGAGACAUGUCAGCCGCAAGGCAGUUGUGAAGGUGCUGCAUGGUUGUCGUCAGCUCGUGCCGUGAGGUGUCGGCUUAAGUGCCAUAACGAGCGCAACCCUUAUCGAUAGUUACCAUCAGGUUAUGCUGGGGACUCUGUCGAGACUGCCGUCGUAAGAUGUGAGGAAGGUGGGGAUGACGUCAAAUCAGCACGGCCCUUACGUCCGGGGCUACACACGUGUUACAAUGGGGGGUACAGAAGGCAGCUACACGGCGACGUGAUGCUAAUCCCGAAAGCCUCUCUCAGUUCGGAUUGGAGUCUGCAACCCGACUCCAUGAAGCUGGAUUCGCUAGUAAUCGCGCAUCAGCCACGGCGCGGUGAAUACGUUCCCGGGCCUUGUACACACCGCCCGUCAAGCCAUGAAAGCCGGGGGUACCUGAAGUGCGUAACCGCAAGGAGCGCCCUAGGGUAAAACUGGUGAUUGGGGC
rnacentral:rRNA from 1 species